rnacentral:lncRNA from 1 species
GAAGUCUCCAGCUAUUUUUGUAUUGGGGGUCUGUAUCUCACUUUAUCCCGAAUAAUAUUUGCUUUAUGUAUGUGGGUGCUCCAAUAUUGAGUGCACAUAAAUUUACAUUCUUGUAAUCUCUUGCUGAAUUGACCCUUUUAUCAAGACAUGGUGAUCUUCUUUGUCUCUUCUUAUAGUUUUUGUCUUGAAAUCUAUUUUGUCUAAGUAACUCCUGUUUUUUUUUUUUUUUUUGUUUUUUGGUUUCCAUUGGCAUGGAAUAUUAUUUUCUAUCCCUUUGUUUUCAGUCAAUUUUUGUCUUUAUAGGAGAAAUGUGUUUCUUGUAGUCAAUGAAUAAUUGAGUCAUUUUUUAAAAUUCAUUCGGCCACUCUAUGUCUUUUCAUUGGAGAGUUUUGUUCAUUUACAUUCAAUGUUAUUAUUGAUAAAUAGGGACUUACUCCUGCCAUUUUCUUAUUUGUUUUCUGUUUAUUUUGGAGUCUUUUCUUCCUUCUUUCCUUUCUUUCUGCCUUUGUUCUAGUGAAGGUGAUUUUAUCUUGUGCUGUGCUUUAAUAUUUUGCUUUUUACUUUUUGUGUGUCUGUUGUGUGUUUUUCAAUCUGAAGUAAGCAUGAGGCUUGCAAAUAUUAUAACCCAUUAUUUUAAAUUGAUGACAACGUAUCACCGACUGAAUAAAGAAACAUGCAAUAAGAAAGCUAAUAAAAACUCAACACUUCUACUUUGUCCCCCACUUUUUAAUCUUGUGUUGUUUCCUUGUAUGUCUUAUUGUACUGUCUUCAUCUUAAAAAGUUACUGUAGUUAUUAUUUUUUAUUGGCUCAUCAUUUGUUAUUUCUACUUAAGACAAGAGUAAUUUAUGUACCACCAUUACUUUGUCAUCAUAUUCUGUGUUUUUCUGUGUGCUUAAUAUUACCAGUGAAUCUUGCGCCUUCAGAUUUCUUCUUGCUUAUUAACUGACCUCCAUGUAGCAUUUCUUGUAAGGUAGGUCUGGUGUUGAUGAAAUCCCUUAGCUUUUGUUUGUCUGGGAAGGUCUUUAUUUCUCCUUCUUGUUUGAAGGAUAUUUUCACCAGAUAUAGCAUUCUAAAGUAAAAGGGUUUUUUCCUUCAGCACUUUCAAUAUGUCAUGCCACUCUCUCCUGGCUUAUAACAUUUCCACAAGAAAGCCUGCUGCCAGAGGUAUUGGAACUCUGUUGCAUGUUAUUUGUUCCUCUUCUCUUACUGCUUUUAGGAUUCUUUCUUUAUCCUUGACCUUUGGAAGUUUGAUUAUUAAAUAAAUGCCUCAAGGUAGUCUUAUCUGAAUUAAAUCUGCUUGGUAUUCUAUUUUACUU